ACGGGUGAGUAACACGUGGGCAACCUGCCCUGCAGAUCGGGAUAACUCCGGGAAACCGGUGCUAAUACCGAAUAGUUUGCGGCCUCUCCUGAGGCUGUACGGAAAGACGGUUUCGGCUGUCACUGCAGGAUGGGCCCGCGGCGCAUUAGCUAGUUGGUGGGGUAAUGGCCUACCAAGGCGACGAUGCGUAGCCGACCUGAGAGGGUGAUCGGCCACACUGGGACUGAGACACGGCCCAGACUCCUACGGGAGGCAGCAGUAGGGAAUCUUCCGCAAUGGACGAAAGUCUGACGGAGCAACGCCGCGUGAGUGACGAAGGUUUUCGGAUCGUAAAACUCUGUUGUGAGGGAAGAACAAGUACCAAGUAACUACUGGUACCUUGACGGUACCUCACCAGAAAGCCACGGCUAACUACGUGCCAGCAGCCGCGGUAAUACGUAGGUGGCAAGCGUUGUCCGGAAUUAUUGGGCGUAAAGCGCGCGCAGGCGGUUCCUUAAGUCCGAUGUGAAAGCCCACGGCUCAACCGUGGAGGGUCAUUGGAAACUG
rnacentral:rRNA from 1 species